CCAGGUGGUGACACGAGCAGACCGAAAGCCGUUCUCAGUUCGGAUCGGAGUCUGCAACCCGACUCCGUGAAGCUGGAUUCGCUAGUAAUCGCGCAUCAGCCAUGGCGCGGUGAAUACGUUCCCGGGCCUUGUACACACCGCCCGUCAAGCCAUGGAAGCCGGGGGCGCUUGAAGUGCGUUGCCGCAAGGCGCGCCCUAGAGCGAAACCGGUGACUGGGGCUAAGUCGUAACAAGGUAUC
rnacentral:rRNA from 1 species